rnacentral:rRNA from 1 species
UACAGAGGCCUCGAGCGUUUAGGCGGAAUCACUGGGCUUAAAGCGCGUGUAGGCGGAUCGUUAAGUGUCUUUGUGAAAUCCCACGGCUCAACCGUGGAACUGCUGGGCAUACUGGGCGAUCUUGGGCCACUCAGGGGCGACCGGAACAAGCGGUGGAGCGGUGAAAUGCGUAGAUAUCGCUUGGAACGCCAAAGGUGAAGACAGGUCGCUGGGGGGUGUGCCGAGCUGAGAACGCGAAAGCCAGGGGAGCAAACGGG